UUCUCAUCCCAGACUAGUCUGCCGCCAAGAGCCCUCCCCAGUCCGGGGCAGCCUGUGCCCGAGUCCGCAGUGAGCCUGAAACAGUAGCACUGAUGCUUGUCUCCUACCACAUCUGGCCCUGGAUGCGUUGACUCAAACAAAACGAGGUGCUUGCAAACUGGUUAUUUGCUCCAUUGUCUUUCUGGGUACCAAAGUUAAACUGACUAGUCUACAAUUCCCUGGUUGUCCUUCCCCUUACAGGACCACUGCAGGAAGCGCAAGGCUCAGAGGACCCUGUUGGUCCCCAUGCCUAGAUUUCUGGAAGCCCACCCCCCACCCCUCCUGCAGGAAAAUGAACAGUCACCCCCUUGCACAGCAGAGACAUCCACAUCUUCAGGAGUCAUUCUCCCCACACUUUGUAACACCAGUGUAAGUAUUGCUUUCCUUACAUGUGCUGAGCAGUGAAGAUAGUGAAUACUGACAUCUAAAUCACACCACAAUAGCUGAUUUAGCACUCAUUAAACAAACGGGGCUGUUCAGGCCCUCUGCAAACAAUAGGUAAGGGGGUAAAACAUCUCUGCAUCGGUGGAACUUGUUUUCCAGCGAAUUUGUUCUUUGCCACUGCAACAGCUAGAGAGAUUUUAAAAGGAAAGCCAAGACACUACACUAGUUGAGAGGGCUGUCUGUGCCCCUGCUGACUACUCCUCUGGGCUUCCCUUCUCCCCAGGGCAGGGUGUGCAUCUUGCUUUAAUGCUGCUGUAGCAAAUGCACUGACCUACAGUUUGGCACAUCAGCAGGGGUCCCCAUCCUUGAUCCAGUUCCGCCACCUCUGUCAGCAGCACCCUGCUCAGGGUUAGAGGCCUGCCAACAGAUAUGGCCUCAUGAUCCUGCCUUGUUAACCAUCCCUCCUCCAAAUGGAUUCACCCCUCACCCCCUGGAGGGUCACUUACCUCCUUGACGAUGUCCCCCUCCAGCAGGAAGCUGCUUUCCGGUGCUUCUGGAGGAAUGAGCUCUGGAAGUAGGAGAAUCCCCAUCAUUUGAAUCACCCCAUGCCUCGGGGCAGGUACCUCACCUGCUUGCAUCACCAGGUGAGCAGCCAGCCCAGAGUCUGAACAUUCCCUGCAUCCUGAUGCCAGGAAGCUCCACCCAGCCGGUUUGUUAGGAGUCAGCGUAAAUCAGCUGCUUGGCAGCCAGCCAUCUGUUUGGCAGCUGUCCACUGCCCAUGCUUAGUUACUACCAGUCUCUUCCCCUUGCCCCCACAGGGGGAUUGGGUCAGAUGUGCUUUUGGCCACUGUUCUCAUGGCUUGUGUUAUCACAGGCAUCCCAUUGCCCACUCCCAAGUCUGGAGGGGUCUGAGAGACAGGUGUGGAAAGCAGAGCCCCAGCAAGAGCUGCUAGACCUCAGAAUGAUGGUUAGAGGCACAUGGCGCACCAAUUGGGCCACUUAACCCAAGCCUGAGAUGAGCUGGGUCAGUUCAGGUUUCUGGGAAUUGCGGGCCCCAUACCACACCAAGACACUGCUGGAGACUUGCUGGGAUAAGCCACCAUCAGCAGAGCCCCAGCUGAGGCAGGGAGCAUGCCUGCAUACACUGGCUGGUGUGAAGAUGGCAUUCCUGGUCAUACAGAUGUGGACAUCUGGGCAGAACAGGACCCAGCAAAUAUGAGCUUCUAGCAUUCAGAUGGAUCUGCAGACACAAAUGCCUCAAAACACAAGGGGAUUUCCUACCUUGGUUAAUGUUGAGGAUCUCAUCACUAGCAGGUGGAUUCCCAGCCAUACCAAUAGCAUGUUGAGGAUUUCUGAGCUGGAGGGAGUUGCCAGGGCCUCCUGUAGGGAGAGCUAGACAGAGGGAGAUUAAAAAAAAGUUAUUGGAGAUUUCACUCCCACCCCCUCUUGGGUAAGUCAGGGACAGCCAUCAAGAUGGUUUCACGUCUUUUCCAUCCCAAGCAGUAUCUAACCCACUGAGCUCCAACUCCAGCUGCAGUUUCAGGAGUGACUUGUGAUCUGGGCUGCCUGAUUUGACACAUGGAGAGGGCUGCUAUUCAGAGUGCUGAUCACCCACCCACCCAGAGUCAGGCCUGGGUCAGGGCACUAGGGCAAUCUCAAAAUUGGGCAUGUUGUGAUGGAGGUAGCACCAGCUGCACCCAGGACAAACUAGAAUACAGCUCCCUCUCCCACAGCAGUAUUGGCUUUGCAGGGCCCCACUGGAGCCAGGAAAGGCAGCAGACCGCUCGGAGCAGUACAGGCCAGAUUUGUCAGGUGCAUGCUGUUCUCACAGCUUGUCGUCACUUUUACCAAGUCUGCCUUUAGACACCAGGAGCCUCCAUUCCAACUCUUGAAAGGUCUCACCCCUGGAGUGCCCAGGUCACAAGAACAGGAGGACGUGUGGCACCUUAGAGGCUAACAAAUUUAUUAGAGCAUAAGCUUUUGUGGGCUACAGUCCACUUCAUUGGAUGCAUAGAAGUGAACAGAGUAAGAAGAUUUAUAUACACAC